UGGGAAUUUUCCGCAAUGGGCGAAAGCCUGACGGAGCAAUACCGCGUGAGGGAUGACUGCCUAUGGGUUGUAAACCUCUUUUUUCAGGGAGGAAUAAAUGACGUGUACCUGAAGAAUAAGCAUCGGCUAACUC
rnacentral:rRNA from 1 species